rnacentral:rRNA from 1 species
UACGGAGGGUGCAAGCGUUAUCCGGAUUCACUGGGUUUAAAGGGUGCGUAGGUGGGUCUGUAAGUCAGUGGUGAAAUCUCCAAGCUUAACUUGGAACUGCCGUUGAUACUAUAGAUCUUGAAUGCUGUGGAGGUGAGCGGAAUAUGUCAUGUAGCGGUGAAAUGACUUAGAUAUGACAUAGAACACCAAUUGCGAAGGCAGCUCACUACCCAGAUAUUGACACUGAGGCACGAAAGCGUGGGGAUCAAACAGG